rnacentral:rRNA from 1 species
CGCGUAGGCGGAUAGUACAGUCAGAUGUGAAAUUCCCGGGCUCAACCUGGGGGCUGCAUUUGAUACGUAUUGUCUUGAGUUCGGAAGAGGGUCGUGGAAUUCCCAGUGUAGAGGUGAAAUUCGUAGAUAUUGGGAAGAACACCGGUGGCGAAGGCGGCGACCUGGUCCGAUACUGACGCUGAGGCGCGAAAGCGUGGGGAGCAAACA